rnacentral:rRNA from 1 species
UACGAAGGGGGCUAGCGUUGCUCGGAAUCACUGGGCGUAAAGCGCACGUAGGCGGAUUUCUAAGUCAGGGGUGAAAUCCUGGAGCUCAACUCCAGAACUGCCUUUGAUACUGGGAAUCUCGAGUCCGGGAGAGGUGAGUGGAACUGCGAGUGUAGAGGUGAAAUUCGCAGAUAUUCGCAAGAACACCAGUGGCGAAGGCGGCUCACUGGCCCGAUACUGACGCUGAGGCACGAAAGCGUGGGGAGCAAACAGG